UGGUUAAGCGAAUAAGAGCGCAGGGUGGAUGCCUUGGCACUAAGAGCCGAUGAAGGACGUGAUAAGCUGCGAAAAGCUUCGGGGAGGAGCAAAUAUCCAUCGAUCCGGAGAUAUCCGAAUGGGGAAACCCGGCAGAGAAGACCUCUGUCAUCCAUACGCCAAUCCAUAACGUAUGGAAGGGAACCCGGUGAACUGAAACAUCUAAGUAGCCGGAGGAAAAGAAAGAAACAUCGAUUCUGGGAGUAGCGGCGAGCGAAACCGGAGGAGCCUAAACCAGCGUGCGUGCAUGCUGGGGUUAAGGACUGCAACAAGUGACCGGAAGGUUAACAGAAUGGUUUUGGGAAAGCCAGCCAUAGAGGGUGAAAGCCCCGUAUGUGAAAACCGGAAGGAGCGGCAGGAUCCAGAGUACUACGAGACACGUGGAACCUUGUAGGAAAUCGGGGGGACCACCCCCCAAGGCUAAAUACUCCUUAGUGACCGAUAGCGCAUAGUACUGUGAAGGAAAGGUGAAAAGGACCCCGGGAGGGGAGUGAAAGAGAACCUGAAACCCUGUGUUUACAAGCUGUGGAACAUCAUUAUUCGAUGAACCGCGUACUUUUUGUAGAACGGUCCGGCGAGUUACGCUUACUGGCAAGGUUAAGCACUGAAGGUGCGGAGCCGGAGGGAAACCAAGUCUGAAUAGGGCGAUGAGUCAGUAGGAGUAGACCCGAAACCGGGUGAUCUAUCCAUGUCCAGGUUGAAGCUGCCGUAAGAGGUAGUGGAGGACCGAACGCACAUCCGUUGAAAAGGGUGGCGAUGAGGUGUGGAUAGGGGAGAAAUUCCAAUCGAACCCGGAGAUAGCUGGUUCUCCUCGAAAUAGCUUUAGGGCUAGCCUCGUAUUAGUCUAGUGGAGGUAGAGCACUGAAUUUCCUAGGGGGCGUCAAAGCUUACCGAAGAAUAUCAAACUCCGAAUGCCAUAUAGAUGAUGUACGGGAGUCAGACUGCACGAGAUAAGUUGGGCAGUCAAAAGGGAAAGAGCCCAGACCGCCAGCUAAGGUCCCAAAGUGUGUGUUAAGUGGAAAAGGAUGUGGGAUUUCGAAGACAACUAGGAUGUUGGCUCAGAAGCAGCCAUACAUUAAAAGAGUGCGUAAUAGCUCACUAGUCGAGAGGUCCUGCGCCGAAAAUGUCCGGGGCUGAAACACAACACCGAAGCUGCGGAACCCGCAAGGGUUGGUAGAGGAGCAUUCUUAAAGGAACGAAGCAGUACCGUAAGGAGCUGUGGACUUUUAAGAAGAGAGAAUGCCGGAAUGAGUAGCGAGAGUAAGGUGAGAAUCCUUACGGCCGAAUAUCCAAGGUUUCCAGGGUAAAGCUGAUCUGCCCUGGGGAAGUCGGGACCUAAGGCGAGGCCGAGAGGCGUAGCCGAUGGACAACAGGUUGAGAUUCCUGUACUACAGUAUGACAGAACUGUGGGGACGCAGAAGGAGAGCACUACCUGGAAUGGAAUCCAGGGGCAAGCACAGGAGGGGUACGGCUGGAAAAACCGCCGUGCAACCCAAAGGUGUGACGCAUACCGAACUAAAGUAGGGAAAUGUGUGAGCCGGCUGCCGAGAAAAGCCGCUAUUGUUUGUACUGUACCCGUACCGUAAACCGACACAGGUGGAUGAGGAGAGAAUCCUAAGGCCGACGGAAGAAGCAUUGCUAAGGAACUCGGCAAAAUGACCCUGUAACUUCGGGAGAAAGGGUGCCUCGAAAGAGGCCGCAGAGAAUAGGCCCAAGCAACUGUUUAGCAAAAACACAGGUCUAUGCAAAACCGCAAGGUGAAGUAUAUGGGCUGACGCCUGCCCGGUGCUGGAAGGUUAAGGGGAGAUGUCAGGAGACGAAGCAUCGAACUUAAGCCCCAGUAAACGGCGGCCGUAACUAUAACGGUCCUAAGGUAGCGAAAUUCCUUGUCGGGUAAGUUCCGACCCGCACGAAAGGCGUAAUGAUUUGGGCGCUGUCUCGGCAAUGCAUCCGGUGAAAUUGAAGUGCCAGUGAAGAUGCUGGCUACCCGCGCCAGGACGGAAAGACCCCAUGGAGCUUUACUCCAGCUUGAUACUGGGAUUCGGUAUUGUAUGUACAGGAUAGGUGGGAGGCUGAGAAAUGGUGACGCCAGUCGCCAUGGAGCCGCUGUUGGGAUACCACCCUUGCAGUACUGGAUUUCUAACCAGCAGCCGU
rnacentral:rRNA from 1 species